GAGAGAUGCUCUGCAUGUACAGGGUCAGUGAGUGGCUAGGAGAGAUGCUCUGAAUGUACAGGGUCAGUGAGUGGCUAGGAGAGAUGCUCUGCAUGUACAGGGUCAGUCAGUGACUAGGAGAGAUGCUCUGCAUGUACAGGGUCAGUCAGUGACUAGGAGAGAUGCUCUGCAUGUACAGGGUCAGUGAGUGACUAGGAGAGAUGCUCUGCAUGUACAGGGUCAGUGAGUGGCUAGGAGAGAUGCUCUGCAUGUACAGGGUCAGUCAGUGACUAGGAGGGAUGCUCUGCAUGUACAGGGUCAGUCAGUGACUAGGAGAGAUGCUCUGCAUGUACAGGGUCAGUGAGUGGCUAGGAGGAAUGCUCUGCACAUGUAGGC